rnacentral:tRNA from 1 species
ACAUAAUUAGUAUAUAAAAUACGUUAGAUUUAGAUUCUAAAAAUAAAUUUAUGUU